UUUGGACAGAAGGAAACAGAAUUAUUUAAAACAGGACACUUCAUGAGUUUAAACAGGGGAAAUUAGUGAUGCCUGGAAAUUUAUUUAUCCCUACGUUUGGCAAGACAAGGCCAAAUGUUUGACACAGCUGUUGACAGAGAAAACAAACUCUUUGGAGUUAGGUUAAGGCAGAGACCCACUGGCAUGCCCAGUAGAGAUGAAAGGCCAGUGAGUAUGCAAGUGUCCUGCAUGCUCAGGGCCCAGUAUACCAGCGUAUCAGCACCCUUUCACUUUUCAUUAUAGUGGUGAGUGGACCAUCUUUGUGCAAAGGAGAAGAUCUCUUGGUGAUCUGAAAGCUACACUGUCCCAUCUGGAGGUUUUGAAUAAAGGAUUCUAGAACUCUGGAGCUGGGAGAAAUUAUUUAGUUUAGACCUUCCAAUUUACAGUUAAAAGAAUGUAGGCUGAGAGGUUGUGGGACUCAAGAAAACAGAGCAAGUAGGUGCAAGAGACAAGAUCAGGGUGCAGCCCUCCUCCCAUGAAAGACUCUUGGGACACACCACCUUCCGCAUGAGCAGAAGAAUUGGGGCCUUUGUCUUUGACCUGCCCAGGAGAGGUCUCAGGUGCUGCUGCUUUUGGUUGGGGCAUUUAAUACUCCAACUGUAAUUAUUGUAUUUUCACAUGCCAAUCAUGGUGGGCCAGUGUCCUCCUUGAAUGGACAUGUCCCCAGGUCCUCCCACCUCCCCCCACAACAAGAUCUAUCAAGAAAGCUGGUCAAUGGCUUGUUCAGACGACCAAAGGAGAAAAUCCAUACAAAGCACCUAGCUCCAGUGCAUGACAUGCAUUAAAGGUGCAAUUAAUUGCUGUGUGCAAAUAAAUGUGCUAACUGUGUUGUCAUAAUUCUCAGUAUCACAAUAUUCCAUCCUGUGGAAGGGAGGUUGAAGCUGAGAGUGAAGGUUGACGGUUUGCCAAGGAAGGGGAAGGGCAGGGGUGUGCCUGGCACACAGGACUGCAGACAUAAUCUGCAGGGCCCGGUACAAAAUGAAAACACCAGCUCCUUGUUCAAAAAGUUGUAUUCUGAGGUUGCCUACAAGCUGACCUUCCUCCCUGUGGAUGGGGGACUGCAGCGCAGCCACCACAGCCUCGCCCACCCCAGCGCUGUGGCCUCCCGGUGGCCGUCCUCGUCUCCGUCUCGUCCAGCAGGAUCCCACGGCCGCCCGAGGGUAAGGCAGAGCAUGGUCACACGACGGCCCAAGUGGCUCCGUACCCCUUACAGCCAAACCCAGCUCCUUCCCUGGCUUGCAGGCCUCCCUGCCCUCUUCUGCCCACUCUGUCCUGCCAUCCGCCUCUGCAGCCUCUCCGUCAGGCCUCAGUUUCUUCCACAGUUGCGCUGCCUCCAUGGAAACAAACCCUGGCACACUCUUUCCUGACAUCAGCCGGGUUGGGAGAACUCAGAAGGCUGGACGUACUAAGACAGGGGGGCAGAACCACCCCCACAUUUGGUUCUCUGGUGCUGCUGGCAAAGGCAUUCUAGAAUUCCUGCACUCCUGUGAGGUUCCUACUCUCACUGCUUCUGAAGGCACCCCCAAACCAGGAGGGUCCCUGUGACGCCAGCCCCCAGGAAAACAGAGCAGUGAGGGGCCCCCAGGGAGGGAGGGGAGAGCCAGUACUGUGGGUCUCUUCGUGGGCCGUGGGCUCUGUGCCCACAGCCGUGCAGGCAGCAGACAGUUCUCUCCUUAAUAUCUGCAAUGGAGGGGAUACUGGAAGAAGAUGCCCAUAAAGGAGGCAGUCUGAGAGUCGUACAUAGUCCUAGGCCCCAGAGCUCCGAUUCCCAGAGCCCCCAUCAUUUUAGCUGUGGGGGACCCUUUAGGGCUCAGGUCAGAGAAGAACAUCCUCGGUCCUGUGAGAUUUCGCCGUCAGAGCUGCAUCUGGGUUGGAGUCUGAGCUGGGGUGAGGGUGGGACUGAGGCCACAUUUUCUGAGUGCCCGGGAUGGACAGCACUGGGUGACCGGCCUUCCUCAGGUGACAGGCCCUGCCGGGCUCAGGGAGGGCCCCACUCCUGUGGGACAACCUCCACAGCAAGAGCCUCAGUCUUUGCCUCACUAUAGGCCCCUUCCCUGCGGCCUUCAAAUGAUAAUCUAGCUCCACUUCUUUAGAAUUUUUGUCUUCUGUUGACCAGCUUGCUGACUCUGUGGCAUCCUGACAGCACAUUCCCUCUUGGCUCCUUGUAACCUGACUCCGUAGCAUCUCGCUUGGACCUUGCUGAAGAUGUCCCUUCUGUUCAGACUGGUCUCUGGAGCUGGAGGACAAACGACGAGGAGGCUGGCUCUUGAAGUUUUUGUACUCAGCAUUGCCAGAGGUGAUGGAUAUUGAGGUCCUGGGGAUGUGUUUCCAGACAUAUUCAUCUUGCUGGUUCCCAGGAGAAAUAUGACACACUGCUGUUUUAAGGACCAUAGUACCAUGUAAAGUUGCAUUGAAAUGAAUAAGUCAUGACAGUUCUUUAUUUUCUUUUAUGAGAUUAUAAAUAAUUACUAUCAAAAUAGUAUCGCCCCCUUUAAAGUCACUAAAUAUGAGAGAACAAAACAGGUUGCAUUGCUGACUGGGAUGUCCGCAAAAAUAUGGCCCAGAAUAAGACAUACAGGAAUAUUUUCUUUAAAUGACACGAUGGCUCCUCUUCCCAAAAGAGAUUCUGACAAAAGCUGGCUUUGAAAGGGUGGGUCCUAAAUUUGGGAGAUUUUUUUCCUUUUUGUUUUAAACAAUACAGAGCAUUUUUAAAAUUAUUAUCGUUAACUAUUAUUAAAGUAAGUCAGAUUGCCUCCUCAUUGCUUCUUCCAGCCACGCCUCAAGCUCUUUCUAAUGCAGUUAAAAGACCACGUGUAGUGCUGCCUCCAAGGAGCCCGGCUCCCUGGACUGUGCCCAUCCCCCAGGCUUCCGGAGAAGAGCAGCUCUCC